rnacentral:tRNA from 1 species
UCAACAAAUAGUUUAAAAAAAAUAUAAAUUUUGGAGAUUUAAGAUGUUUUUCUUUGUUGAU